CAGUAGCCGCGGGAAUACGUAGGGUGCAAGCGUUAAUCGGAAUUACUGGGCGUAAAGCGUGCGCAGGCGGUUUGUUAAGACAGAUGUGAAAUCCCCGGGCUCAACCUGGGACCUGCAUUUGUGACUGUAUAGCUAGAGUACGGUAGAGGGGGAUGGAAUUCCGCGUGUAGCAGUGAAAUGCGUAGAUAUGCGGAGGAACACCGAUGGCGAAGGCAAUCCCCUGGACCUGUACUGACGCUCAUGCACGAAAGCGUGGGGAGCAAACAGGAUUAGAUACCCCAGUAGUCCCUGUCUCUUAUAC
rnacentral:rRNA from 1 species